rnacentral:rRNA from 1 species
CCCUUAGACGUUCUGGGCCGCACGCGCGCUACACUGACGAAGGCAACGAGCUUUCCUUUACCGAAAGGUACGGGUAAUCUUUUGAAACUUCGUCGUGCUGGGGAUAGAUCAUUGCAAUUUUUGAUCUUGAACGAGGAAUUCCUAGUAAGCGCGAGUCAUCAGCUCGCGUUGAUUACGUCCCUGCCCUUUGUACACACCGCCCGUCGCUACUACCGAUUGAAUGGUUUAGUGAGGACUCCUGAUUGGCGCCGCCGCCCCGGCAACGGAGCAGCGGACUGCCGAAAAGUUGUUCAAACUUGAUCAUUUAGAGGAAGCAAAAGUCGUAACA